rnacentral:rRNA from 1 species
CCAAUAGCGUAUAUUAAAGUUGUUGCAGUUAAAAAGCUCGUAGUUGAACUUCGGGGUCUACCCAUUGGUCAGGCUUAAUUGUCUGCACUGGUGAGAUGGAUCUCUACCUUCUGAGGAACUUUCAUGCCAUUUAUUUGGUGUGAUGGGAAAUCCGGACUGUUACUUUGAAAAAAUUAGAGUGUUUAAAGCAGACUAUCGUCUGAAUACAUUAGCAUGGAAUAAUGAAAUAGGACGGACUGAUUCUAUUUCGUUGGUUUCUAGGAUCACCGUAAUGAUUAAUAGGGAUAGUUGGGGGCAUUAGUAUUCAAUUGUCAGAGGUGAAAUUCUUGGAUUUAUUGAAGACUAACUACUGCGAAAGCAUUUGCCAAGGAUGUUUUCAUUAAUCAAGAACGAAAGUUAGGGGAUCGAAGACGAUCAGAUACCGUCGUAGUCUUAACCAUAAACUAUGCCGACUAGGGAUCGGACGAAGUUAAUUUUAUAAUGACGCGUUCGGCACCUUACG